rnacentral:lncRNA from 1 species
GAACAAGGCCCAAAUAACUAGUAAUUUGUAUUCCAUUUACAUAUUUUACAGCCGUCCAGGGCGAAGAUUGGACUGUCAAAGCUAAGCCCAGGUUCGAAGUGGCUAACCAACAUGGUAUGCCAGAAGUUUAGACUGGCUCCACACAAGGCAUGGCUACGCUGUAAUAAAUAAUUAAAUAUACAUUCCCUUAAAAGUUUUACAAGCAAUUCAAGCCGAUUAGACAUUCUGGACUAACUCCAUUAGCACAUUACCGGAUCUGGCCCUGCGCCUCGCAGCAAACAAGACUAAACUUUUUUUUAAGUAAAAAAAAGAGAGGGAAUAUUUACAUGACCCAAACAUAUUUUUAAAAAGUAAAAAAAUCGGUAAUUUAAGUUAUAGACAUUGAGCCAAAUAAGUAAAUAUAUUGAAUUAAGCAACAAAAAAAUCAUGAGAACCUGAACAAAAAAAAUCAGACCAAAAUGAAAAAAAAAAACAACAACAAAGCUUGGAUAUUAGCCAACCCAAUGCGGAACAACAAAAUUUAAAAAAAAAACAAAGAGAGAGAGAAACGACUCAGGUCAACUUGAGUGAGCAAGCUAAAUCUACAACUCGGGUUAUGAGACCGAGAUAAGCAUGUAAAAAACAAAUAAAAAAAUAACAAAGUUCAAUUCCCAACAAAUCCAAUAUAGAUAAAUGAAAUUAAAAAAAAAAUCAUUUGAAAAAAAAACCCAGAAAAGCCCACCAAACCCCGUGGCCUAAAUCAUUUGAAUGAGAUAAUCCAAUAUAAGGUAAAUAAAAAACAAUCUUGAAGCUCAAUUCUAAAACAAUCUAAUGUUGAAUGAUACGACUGAAAAAAUAUUAAAUUUAAAAGAAAAACAACCAAAAAAAUCUCUAACUCAACCCGGGCUAACCUUUGAUCCAAGUGUCGAGACUGGGAUAGACGAAUAAAAGAAAAUCACGAAGCAUGAUUUUAGAAAAACCUAAAGUGAAAUGACAUUAAAAAUAAAAUUAGUGUAAGAAACAAAAUCUAAAAAAAGACCUAUGUUAAUCCAGGUUAAGUUUUCAAACCUGUGACUUGGGUCAUGAAAUUAAGAUCACUCAUCAAGAAAAAACAUUAAGCCAAAUUUUCAACCAACCUCAUGCCGAAGCAUAAAAUUGAAAGAAAAGUUUUUUACAAAAGGACCCAACACAAAAAAAAAAUCAAAAGAAUGAUGACCAAUUUUGAAAUAAAAACAAAUUAGAGAACACCUUAUAUUUUUUGAUUGGAUGAUGACCUUGAAAAAAAAAUCACAAAAUGAUCAAAAAAAAAAAAUUAAAAGAAUGAGUAUUGAAUUAGAAAAAUAAAAUAAGAGGACAACAUGAUAUUUUUUUAUUGAAGGGUGAAGUUGAAAAAACUUUUAAAUUUACAAUAGGAUCCAAAACAAGAAUUUAGCAAUUAAAAGAACAAGGAUCGGAUUUGAAAUAAAAAUAAACGAGGGGACAACUUGAUGUUUUUGGAUUGAAGGGUGAACUUAAAAAAACUUUUAAAUUUACAAUAUGAUCCAAAACAAAAAUUUAGCAAUCAAAAAAGCGGGGAUCAAGUUUGAAAUAAUAAUAAAACAAGAGGACAACUUGAUAUUCUUGGAAGGGUGAAAUUGAAAAAACUUUUAAAUUUACAAUAGGAUCAAACACAAAAAUUUAGCAAUAAAAAAAAACGGAUCAAAUUUGAAACAAUAAUAAAAUGAGAGGAUGAUUCAAAAUUAUUGACUGAGCAAUGCGAAUUCUGAGUAGAGUGAAGGGAAAGAAAAAAUAAAAUAUUGCCGCUGACAAACCGUUGUGAUCCAUUCUCUAUGAGGCGUCCUAUAUGAAAGAACAUGGUGUGCCUCAUCUAUAUCCACCGUGAAAGGCAGUGUUUGGUGUAAAGGAGGUCGUACGCGCCACCAGAAUGUUUUGGCCUCCCUUGCUCUCUGACACAUGUACUGCACUUGCCAACCGAUCAUACCCUUCCCACUAGCUUCGUCCCCUGUAUUUGUUUAAGCAUCAAAUUAGGAAUUUAAAACCUUGAUUGUUUUAGAUAAAAGAAUUUAAACAUAUUUUGACAAGCCAGACAUCAACCGAUCACUUAAAAAAUUCCUUGAUAUUGUGAGACUUCUAUAUAUAAGCAACCAAAAUAAACUAUAAAGUAUCCCAAAAAAAAAGAAGGAUCAAAAUUAAAAACAAAAACAGUAACUGAAAAAAAGAAAUAACAAUAUCUACCUUGAUCCUGCAACCCAGUCUAUAGUUGGGUAAAAUUUAAAGGUCUCGGUAUUUAUCAAGGUUUAAUACUUUAUCACCAAAGCUUUAAUUGCUAUAAAAUAAUAAAAUUAAAUUUUAUAUUUUGAAAAAUCGAGCAACAAAAUAUUUUCUCAACACCCGGAGGUUCUCAUUCAUAGACGAACACAACAAUUUGCAACGCCAAAAUCCACACUAUUGCAAUGUCUAAUGACUAAAUUAGAAAACAAAUAAAUUAAAGGAUCAAAACGUAAAACACCAAAGGGAAAAAAAUCUUUCUUUUGGGCUAUAGUAACUUCAAGAGGAGUUUAAGUUUUUUGCAUACAUCAUGUAGAAAACUAACAUAACACACAUGAGGGCUUGUGUGCUUGUGUUUAGUAUGUUGUUUUUUAACUUGUUUAUUUUUAUGUUUUAAAAAUAUUUUUUAAAAAGUAUGAUUUUUAUUUUAUUUUAUUUUUGUUUUAAAUUAUUUUUUUUCAGGUUAUUUUAAUAUGUUCAUAUUAAAAAUAAUUUUUUUAAGAAUAUAAUUUUAAUAUAUUUCAAGAUAAAAAAUGCUUUUAAAAAUAAUUACUACCAAACGAGUUUAAUCUGACAACAUAAAAUGCCCAAACAAUUCACAAACUACGAGCAUAGUGAAGCUGUUCAAGCAAAAUUAUAAACAAAAUCAAAUUUCUUUCUGACUGGUUCUACAAGUUGGGAAUAGAAUUGAUGAUUUUUUUAAAAAUAAAAACAAAACAUAAUCAGUGGGAAUAAAUACAUUUCAGUUAUCCAACAAGAAUAAGAAGGAUUAGCGAAAAUUAUCAAAGAAACGAGAGAGAAGAUUUUUUGUUGUGUUUUAAAAUCUAUUUGAAUGAGUUAUUUGAUAUCUUCAAAUUAUUUUUAUUGUGGUUGGUUCACAAUUUUUCUUCACUUUGAUCCAAGGACUAAGAAUUUUACUUCAUUUAUUUCCUAGGUGCACCGUAGCAUUUGCCCCUCUAUUUAAUGAAAAAGAAAAAAAUACAGCCUUAUUUCUCUGACCACGCCACGUUCCAUUUCUCCUUACUCCCGAAGAAAAGUACAAACCCAUAAUCCCCAAAUUUCCCAAUCGGAUUCAGAUCUUUUAGGGUUUCCAAGCAGCAAUGGCACUUGAGUGGGUAGUACUAGGCUAUGCCGCAGGCGCAGAGGCAAUCAUGGUCCUUCUCUUGACCAUCCCAGGCCUUGACGGACUGCGCAAGGGGCUGCUCGCGGUGACGCGCAAUCUGCUGAAGCCGUUUAUGUCGGUGGUUCCGUUUUGCCUGUUUCUGCUGAUGGAUAUAUACUGGAAGUAUGAGACGAGGCCGAGCUGCGAGGGCGAGUCCUGCUCUCCAACCGAGCACCUCCGUCACCAGAAAUCUAUUAUGAAAAGCCAGAGGAAUGCGUUGUUGAUCGGUGCUGCUCUAAUUUUCUACUGGCUUCUUUACUCGGUCACUCAUCUUGUUGUGAAGAUCGAGCAGUUGAAUCAGCGCGUCGAGAGGCUCAAGAGCAAGGAGUAAGUGAUGAUGAUGAUGGAUAUACAUGGACUUUGUUUUCUAUUUUCAUGGAUUACUACUGUUAAAUGAGACUUUAAUUGGCGUUUUCAAUUCAGUUAUUUUUCUCGUGUAGGUAGUAACUAUGUUGGAUUUGGAUGUCAAGACUUAUUAAUAUGCAGCUUUUCCUUAAUCAUUUUGGGAGUUUUUUCCUGCGUGUCGAAUUCGUUCCAAUUUUGAUCAGAAUAUGGAUUGUGUUUUGUGAAAGUGUAAAUUGAUGAAAUUGUGAGAUCUGUAUUAGGCAGUUUUAUUAUCUGCUUCUUUCUUCUGAUUAAUGCGGAUGAAUCUGUAGUAUAUUAGGGUAGGAGAAGAGGACGCGCGUGGGUUUUCGAUUUUAGUCAUGCAAUUGCCAUGUCAAAACUCUGAUUGUGAACUUAAUGCAAGCUGUUGCUUGUUCUGACCAAUAGCUAUAUUAGUCUCUUCUGAUCCCUAUCUCAGACAACCAUCACCAUACAAAAAUAAUGGCCAGCCAGGAAAAUGAUGAUGAGAUCCAAAGAUUUUUACCUUUUCUACUCUGAACUCGUCACACUCACAGCGACUCCGUUCCUUCUCAAUGUUGGAAAUAUCGUUCGUUUGGCUCUGAGUCAACCUUUUCUUCAUAUGUGCUCUCUCGCAUGGUCAUCUUUGGCUUUGAAAUUCUUUUUAGUUUUGUCAUCGUUGCAACUUGUAUCGGCUUGAUGUUUCAUCACUUGCAAUGGUGAUGGGACAUGUGAAUUCUUAGUGGCUGGGGGCUGGAGGAGCAGAUCAGAAGAGGGAAUUGAUACCAGGGAGAGGUGGUGGUGGUGGUCUUCUUGGUGUAGAGGAG